rnacentral:rRNA from 1 species
AAUGAACGCUGGCGGCAUGCCUUACACAUGCAAGUCGAACGGCAGCAUGACCUAGCUUGCUAGGUUGAUGGCGAGUGGCGCACGGGUGAGUAAUGCAUCGGAACGUGCCUUUUAGUGGGGGAUAACGUAGCGAAAGUUACGCUAAUACCGCAUAUUCUCUGAGGAGGAAAGCAGGGGACCUUCGGGCCUUGCGCUAGAAGAGCGGCCGAUGUCGGAUUAGCUAGUUGGUGAGGUAAAGGCUCACCAAGGCAACGAUCCGUAGCGGGUCUGAGAGGAUGAUCCGCCACACUGGGACUGAGACACGGCCCAGACCCCUACGGGAGGCAGCAGUGGGGAAUUUUGGACAAUGGGCGCAAGCCUGAUCCAGCCAUGCCGCGUGAGUGAAGAAGGCCUUCGGGUUGUAAAGCUCUUUCGGCUGGGAAGAAAUCGCACCCUCUAAUACAGGGUGUGGAUGACGGUACCAGCAUAAGAAGCACCGGCUAACUACGUG